GUUGGAUGUCAAGAGUAGAUAAUGUUGAUGACUAAUGGAAGAGUAGUUUAUACAGCGUGGAUACGCUGGGCAAAGAGAUGGUUCACAUUCCACUUGGAGCAGGAUGGUGCAAGAUUUCAUCACACUUCUCAGAACAACACACAGUUUAAAACUUAAUGACUUUUUUAUUUCUGGAAUUUCUCAUUUAAAAUUUUUGGACCACAGUUGACUGCAGGUUGUAAAGCUCUCUGAAAUAGUGACCUUAGCGAAGCAAGCACAUGUGGAUGUGAAAUUUCAGUUGCCAAUAUGAUCUGAAAACCCAGUGGAUGGCUGAAGAUAUGCAGGAGGAGAUAUCUUUUUAUGGCUUAGCAGAAUGCUGCUCAAAGCGCCAGUCUCUGAAGCUCUUUGUUCCUGACUUGCAACCAGGUACUUUAGAUUUUCUACAUCUAAUGGUGGCAAAUAAAUCCACUAGCUGCCAAAUACAUGGGAAAUGAUCUGUGAAAACCACAAGUGGCCCAACAAACUGUACGUCUUCAAUUUGACAGCACAAAGGAAUUAUUGGU
rnacentral:lncRNA from 1 species